GAAAUGCCUCCAUGAGAUCCAGCUGUAAGGCAUUUUCUCAAUUAGUGAUAAAUGGGCGAGGGCCCAGCUGAUGGUGGGUGGUGCCAUCCCUGGGCUGGCGAUCCUG
rnacentral:miRNA from 1 species